rnacentral:rRNA from 1 species
AGUUUGAUCAUGGCUCAGAUUGAACGCUGGCGGCAGGCCUAACACAUGCAAGUCGAACGGUAACAGGAAGAAGCUUGCUCUUUGCUGACGAGUGGCGGACGGGUGAGUAAUGUCUGGGAAACUGCCUGAUGAGGGGGAUAACUACUGGAAACGGUAGCUAAUACCGCAUAACGUCGCAAGACCAAAGAGGGGGGACCUUCGGGCCUCUUGCCAUCGGAUGUGCCCAGAUGGGAUUAGCUAGUAGGUGGGGUAACGGCUCACCUAGGCGACGAUCCCUAGCUGGUCUGAGAGGAUGACCAGCCACACUGGAACUGAGACACGGUCCAGACUCCUACGGGAGGCAGCAGUGGGGAAUAUUGCACAAUGGGCGCAAGCCUGAUGCAGCCAUGCCGCGUGUAUGAAGAAGGCCUUCGGUUGUAAAGUACUUUCAGCGGGGAGGAAGGGAGUAAAGUUAAUACCUUUGCUCGUUGACGUUACCCGCAGAAGAAGCACCGGCUAACUCCGUG